rnacentral:rRNA from 1 species
GACGAACGCUGGCGGCGUGCCUAAUACAUGCAAGUCGAACGAGAGCGACCGGUGCUUGCACUGGUCAAUCUAGUGGCGAACGGGUGAGUAACACGUGGGUAACCUGCCCAUCAGAGGGGGAUAACAUCCGGAAACGGAUGCUAAAACCGCAUAGGUCUUCGAACCGCAUGGUUUGAAGAGGGAAAGAGGCGCAAGCUUCUGCUGAUGGAUGGACCCGCGGUGCAUUAGCUAGUUGGUGAGGUAACGGCUCACCAAGGCCGUGAUGCAUAGCCGACCUGAGAGGGUGAUCGGCCACAUUGGGACUGAGACACGGCCCAAACUCCUACGGGAGGCAGCAGUAGGGAAUCUUCCGCAAUGGACGCAAGUCUGACGGAGCAACGCCGCGUGAGUGAAGAAGGUUUUCGGAUCGUAAAACUCUGUUGUUAGAGAAGAACAAGUGCUAGAGUAACUGUUAGCGCCUUGACGGUAUCUAACCAGAAAGCCACGGCUAACUACGUG